ensembl:piRNA 21ur-383 ncRNA
UUGUUUCAGGAUUGUAGGUUU